GACGAACGCUGGCGGCGUGCCUAAUACAUGCAAGUAGAACGCACAGUUUAUACCGUAGCUUGCUACACCAUAGACUGUGAGUUGCGAACGGGUGAGUAACGCGUAGGUAACCUGCCUGGUAGCGGGGGAUAACUAUUGGAAACGAUAGCUAAUACCGCAUAAUAUUAAUUAUUGCAUGAUAAUUAAUUGAAAGGUGCAAUUGCACCACUACCAGAUGGACCUGCGUUGUAUUAGCUAGUAGGUGAGGUAACGGCUCACCUAGGCGACGAUACAUAGCCGACCUGAGAGGGUGAUCGGCCACACUGGGACUGAGACACGGCCCAGACUCCUACGGGAGGCAGCAGUAGGGAAUCUUCGGCAAAGGACGAAAGUCUGACCGAGCAACGCCGCGUGAGUGAAGAAGGUUUUCUGAUCGUAAAGCUCUGUUGUAAGAGAAGAACGGGUGUGAGAGUGGAAAGUUCACACUGUGACGGUAUCUUACCAGAAAGGGACGGCUAACUACGU
rnacentral:rRNA from 1 species